GACGAACGCUGGCGGCGCGCUUAACACAUGCAAGUCGAACGGCAAGGCCUGCUUUCCCUUGUGGAUUGCGGGUACUCGAGUGGCGAACGGGUGAGUAACACGUGAGUGAUCUGCCCCCAACUUGGGUAUAAGCCUGGGAAACUGGGUCUAAUUCCCGAUAGGACUGCAGGGUGGUGCCUGUGGUGGAAAACGAUUUUCUAGUGGUUGGGGAUGAGCUCGCGGCCUAUCAGCUUGUUGGUGGGGUAAUGGCCUACCAAGGCGGCGACGGGUAGCCGGCCUGAGAGGGUGGACGGCCACAUUGGGACUGAGAUACGGCCCAGACUCCUACGGGAGGCAGCAGUGGGGAAUAUUGCACAAUGGGCGGAAGCCUGAUGCAGCGACGCCGCGUGGGGGAUGACGGCCUUCGGGUUGUAAACUCCUUUCGACCGCGAGGAAGCCACCUGGUUGGAAGGGUGGUGACGGUAGUGGUAGAAGAAGCACCGGCUAACUACGUG
rnacentral:rRNA from 1 species